GUAGGGUUGGAGAUCUUUGAAAAACGGUUCCUGUGAGCUAUAUUUUUGAAAAUACACAGCCCGCCUCUCCCUUCAGCCCUCCCCUCAAAGCCACGCCUUCGAAACACAUGAACGCGCAUGCAGUCUGUCAAGUGUUCGGAUUAUCCCGGGAACCCACGAGAGCUCACGAGGCGGGGGCGGGCUAGAAGCCACGACAAAUCGAUUAGCCAAGCUAACUUCCAGCCAUGGCACUGUCUCCGGCUACGACCUUCCACGACCACGAGAGCUCCAGCUCUGACUUUCCUGGCCCAUCACAAUCAUAACGACCUAACAGCCCAGUAGGACCGAUGGCCAGAGAUGGAGGAGGAGGAAGAUAGACGCAGCAGAGGUCGGGGGUAUUGAUUAGGGAGACUCCAACAGAAUUGACGCCCUGCUAACUGCCUUGAUUCAAUCAUUGAAUUUGAAGCAAUCCCAUCGGUUACUGCAGCGUGCCCUGACCCGUGACCCCAGUUUGAUGUUCGACCUGGCACAUGACAUCUGGUCCUCAGUCACAGCCCAGUAGCACAACCAACCUGGCGCCUCUGCGCAAUCUGUAAGGAGAUGCCCAUGAACAUUGAAAGGAAAUGCUGUGGUGUUCUCAGUUUUGAUAAGACUUUGGGCUGAUGUAGGACCAGGUGAGAGAAACGGUCUCUUCAGGCAUGCAGCCUACAGACAGUAUGGGGCACUUGAACAGGGCUGACGUUGUAAUACACAGUACAAUACCCAGGAUUAGCCAGGGUUACCCUGCUCCACUAGAGCAAUAUAAAAGGUUUAUACAGAGUAUGGUAUAAAACACACA